rnacentral:rRNA from 1 species
UACGUAGGGUGCAAGCGUUGUCCGGAAUUAUUGGGCGUAAAGAGCUUGUAGGCGGUCUGUCGCGUCUGCUGUGAAAUCCGGGGCUCAACCCCGGACUUGCAGUGGGUACGGCAGACUAGAGUGUGGUAGGGGAGACUGGAAUUCCUGGUGUAGCGGUGAAAUGCGCAGAUAUCAGGAGGAACACCGAUGGCGAAGGCAGGUCUCUGGGCCACUACUGACGCUGAGAAGCGAAAGCAUGGGGAGCGAACAG